GUCGGCUGCUUCAGACUGAGCGCUGCCACUCCACCUGCAAGAGGGACAGCGCACUGACAUCUAGCGCCCCCUGCUGGUCAUUGCAGUAAUGGUACACACCUUACAGUCCUCUGUAGUGAAGUCCAGCAGAGUCAGAACACGGAGAAGGUCGGCAGAGACGUUAUCAGGCGCUGGGGAGAUGGAGAACUACGUUGUCCUGUUUCUACAGCAAACGCGGUAAGGAACCCGGAUGGGCGCUGGUGGAGGAUGAUGUUCACUCCGGAUGAGCUUACGCUGAGCUCACAUUUAUGUACGGAAAAGAGUAUCAAAUGAAAGAUAUUAAGAAUUCUCUUGUAUAAACAUUGGGCCAGUUUGGACUCCUCUAAUCUAUAUAUUCAUUAAUAUUAUGUUCCUAUAUACCUAAAUAUCUCUACAGAAAGGUGACCCCAAAGUGGGGCUGGUGUGAGAAGCAUUGCUGAUUAUGAAGGUGGUCAGAUAUGGGCUGAUGCAUGGACAUUAGGACCACAAUGCACGAGUGCCAGCCUGUAAACUUAAUUAGUGUCAGAAUGUAAAA